GACGAACGCUGGCUGCGUGCUUAACACAUGCAAGUCGAACGAUGAAGCUGGAGCUUGCUCCGGUGGAUUAGUGGCGAACGGGUGAGUAACACGUGAGCAAUCUGCCCUUGACUCUGGGAUAACUGCGGGAAACUGUAGCUAAUACCGGAUACUUUCACUGGAAGGCAUCUUCUGGUGAAGAAAGAAUUUCGGUCAAGGAUGAGCGUGCGGCCUAUCUGCUUGUUGGUGAUGUAACGGCGCACCAAGGCGACGACGGGUAGCCGGCCUGAGCGGGUGACCGGACACACUGGGACUGAGACACGGCCCAGACUCCUACGGGAGGCAGCAGUGGGGAAUAUUGCACAAUGGGCGCAAGCCUGAUGCAGCAACGCCGCGUGAGGGAUGAAGGCCUUCGGGUUGUAAACCUCUUUUAGCAGGGAAGAAGCGAAAGUGACGGUACCUGCAGAAAAAGCACCGGCUAACUACGUGCCAGCCGCCGCCGUAA
rnacentral:rRNA from 1 species